CGGAGAGUUCAGUCUGAUAUUUCAAAUCUGCUACAUGUUCUUUAAGUCUCAAUUUUAAUUUUCGUUUCGUUUCUCCUAUGUAGAACUUGGUACCAUUACAGAAUCUCAGUAUUUCUCUUGUUGAUAUGACUUCUGCAAUAGAUUUUGGUAGGGAUAAAUGUGUAAGCUGUAUAAAUAUGUAUUCGUCCAUGAUACCCAGUUUAUAAAUAAUCCCGAGUUGGCUGAAGAGGAGCAUGUUACAUCCGAAAUCAACUGAACUAAAGAUGAUAGAACUCCAAGUGUUGGAAUUUAUUACACUACAUAGUGCGUAAAGAAUGAAAGAGGAGUCACAGCACGGUUUCAGAUUAUUAUUAAUAAUCUAUCGGUUGUUUGGUAUUAUGUUUCGAGUUCAAGUGCAUCAUGCGAUUGUUUAAGACCAGGAUAAAACCAGUAAACACUGGUUGGUCGUUGAUUCGCACCUCACCAAUGGGAAUGCCUUUUGGAUAUUUUAACGUGUGUAAGCACUACAACAGAUACCAGUAUCCUAUAUUUUCAUGCACUAAACAUUUUCAUGCACUAAACACUUCAAUAUGUGCCAUUUUUUUAAAUAGAAAGUCCUCUCUACUGUAUGGCAUAUUGUCACGUGUUAUUUAGCCAUAUUCCAUCAAAA